rnacentral:lncRNA from 1 species
GCUUUUUGCAAAAUUGACUCAAAACUCAAAGUCAAACCUAAAACUAACCCAUGUUUUUUUUGGAUUUUUCUUUUGUCCUAUUCACCCCACAAGUUCAUAUAAUUCACGAAAAUGCCAUCAAAUUUUUUUUUUUUCCGAAAAUGACAUUUUUACUCUCUCACCCUCAUCAUCUUUAAGUAAUUACAAGAUUUCUAUUGUCAUCAAUACCCCAUCCACCAUGAACAACCAAUUUGAAGCUCUUAAUGCACCUAAAAUCGAUUUACACUCUCUCUUUCUCACUUGUUAUGAACUAAAAACAACAUCUCUUUCACUUUGCCACUAUAUUCAUCCAAAAAACUCAAGCUUUUGAUUCAAAUUUUUUUU